CGGGGGCAGCAGCAGCAGCAGCUGGAAUCUGCAAUCUAAAUUCUUUAACUCCUUCGCCCCCUCCCGCCCCGCCUGUCCCAAGUGUCUUUACCAGCAGCAGUGCCCGCGACUCUCUUCACGUGGCUGCAGCUGCUGCCUGGGACGGACCGUGGCGGGGACGCGGGGUGGUAUAGGGGUGUGUGUGUGAGCGCCGCGCUUGCUGGGCUGCCGGCUGGCUGCCGACUCCCCACGUGGCUGGGACAGGACUGUGGCACUAGUGGGCACCUCCGAGGGCACUUAACUCAGUGCCUGUCUCCGUCGGAAAGCGUUUUCAGCACCUCAACGGAUCAGGGCCUGUGAUGGGAUGGACUAGGCCCAAACACGCAUUGCUGGAGGCCUCAGGGCUCUGCCACACCCAUCCCAGGAAAGGAGCAGUGGAGAGGUCCUCCAAGCAGGCUAGAGGGCUGCAGGGGGAAGCACCCAGUCUGGGCUCAGGAGGGCCAUAUAAAAGGAGCUGCAGAACAGAGCAGCAGUACCUGCUGCUGGAAGCUGGAGAAGAAAGGACUGCGUGCCUGGCUGGCUGAAGGAACUGCAGCACGAUGGACAGUUAAGUGGGGGCAGGGACCGGGGGAGUGAGGCUCCUGGCUGGCUGCUAGGACCAAGCCAAAGAUAGUUUGCUAGCAGCAACCAGGGGAAAGUAAUGAAGAAGCUCCUAGGGACUGAGCCUGGGAAGGGCACCAGGAAGAUAGUGUCUCCAGGGAGGAAGCCCUGGGGAAACAGCCCCAUACCAGGGCUAGACUGGUUGAAAGAAUGCAGACACACCCCAUCAUGGGGGGAGGCGCUUGCAAGAGAUGGGUGCCAACCCUGUUACAGGGCCUAAAAACUUUCAGACAUGCUUCAAAUUAUGCACCAUGAUUAGUCUCAGUGACUCACAUGGGACUAUUCAGUGUGUAAAAUUAAACUUGUGCACAAGUCUUUGCAGGCUCCUAACAAGGAAUAUUUGAGUGGGUUAGUGAACCUUCCCAACUCAAAAAACAAAAACCACCAAUUAGUUAGUUGUCAUACUUGUAGAUUAGAGUAAUAAUGAUGGAAGUCUUGCUAUAAAUACACACAGGCACUGUACAUCAUAUACAGAAAAAUACACUAGGUACAGUUUAAAAAACCUGCCGACUAGAAAAAAUUUAAAGACUGCUUACUUAGUUUCUAAUUUAUGGACCAAAUGCAUUUUAUGUGAUAUUUUGGACUUGUACAGAGCACCACUGGCCCAAUCCCAUUAGGUUUUCCCUGUCUCUCUAGAAUACUCAUGAUAAAGUAGAUAUUAUAAGAUCUCAGAAGAAAUAAUACUUGGCCAGCCUCAGCAAAGUGUGGCAUUGUAAAAUAUAGUACUGGAAAAGAGAAGACUAAGCUACCAAUACCUAAUUUAUACUUAAUUAUCAAUUCUUAGUUAAUAUACGCAAUCCCUGCUCAGACCCCCUAUUAUAAGACGGACUGCAACGCAAUGCAGAAUGAAAAUGAUUUUCAGAACUCUUGAGUGAUUGACAAUAGAAAACUAUCGUUGUUUAUGUGUCAGUUAAGCCUAAGAAGAAAACCCUGUAACACUGUUCCUUUCGCUUGGAAAGGAGAAGAGGUUCCUUGUAUUACUGUUGUCUAAACAGAUAUGGUAAUUUCAAAACACUGCACACUGACACAUUCUAUGAGUCUUACUGUUUCAAUGAGCUGAGCCACUCACUGGUAGUUCACAUUCUUCCACAGCUACAGAUAAGAGUUUAAAAUGCAAGGUGGUUGCUUUUUUCAACAAAGUUAUUGCUGGCAACAUAUGGAAUCUAUUUUUACCCCUUGCCCUCUAGGCAUUUACUGUACAUUUCACAGAGCAAACCCCUCUCUUUAGGUCAUUGACUUACAUGAGUUAACUCAUACAGAACAUGCAUCUCUGAAACCAGGUUGUACAUUUUGUUGACAUUUUACAGAUGCCUAGAUUUACAGGCAAACCGAGUUCUCCCCCCAUAAGAGCACCAAGACUUUUCCACACUAUUUUUCAGUCACAUGGCACCAAGCACAGGUACCACUCCACUGGUGAUCUGUUGACUUUAAAUAAAACAGGCUCUAUCAAUAGGGCUAGUCAAUAUCUUUGUGUGCUAAAAUGCCACUUAAAGCUAGUAAACCAGAUUUUAAAAAAAUUAAAAGGAAGAAAAAGGUUAAAGGUUAUUGAAAAGGAACAGUGAGGAGAGCAUGAUUAGACUAGUCAGCAUCCAGGGCAAACUCCCACCUAGUAUCAGAGGAAACCAGUGUCCAAGACCAGCUACCAAACAGAUCCACAAAACUAAAUUUAAGCCUAGACUCCUUUUUGCCAUCUAAAGCCGCCAGAGCUUGCCUCACCUGCUUUAACAGGAACUUAUCCUCUGCAUUGGUCUUCAGGGAGAUUAUUGAGAGGACCACCCUGCUGAUGACGGCAGCCCUCAUCCUGACUGGCAGCAGCGUGUAGGCAUUUACCGUUAUAUUCUCUGCUGACCUGGGGCUUCUGUGAUUCCUUCUGCAAAGCCAGAUAGAAGAUUUGGCUUAAUUCUUUUUCCACAAAGUGCAAGGUUGACCAAGGACAGCUUCUUAGAUGGCCCUAAUGCAUUUUUGAUUGUGGGGGGACAAGGACUGACAACUUCCCUGAUCCAAGACCUUACUAUAUUUUAGUUCUAAAUGAAUGUCAAAAAGCAUUGCUCAACCCAGGGGCCAGAAGUCUGAUGUUUCACCAUCAGGCCUAAACCAAAGAGUUAAAUAAAUUAUUUAGCAUUUAUGUUGCAAUAGCACCUACAGGCCUCAACCAGGCUGAGGGCCCCAUCGUUCUAGGCACUGCACAAUAAGGAUAUGUCUACACUGCAGUGACAAACCCAUGGCUGUCACAUGCCAGCUGACUUGGGCGCAGGCUAAGGGGCUGUUUAACUGCAGUGUAGAUGUUUGGUCUCAGUCUGGAGCCUGGGUUGUAGGACCCUGUGACGAGGGAGGGUCCCAGAGCUCAUGAUCCAGCCUGAGCCCAAACCUCUACACUGCAAUUAAACAGCCCCUUAGCCCAAGCUGUGAGCCUGAGUCAGCUCCAUGGAUGUCUAACUGUAGCAUAGACAUACCAUAAAAACAGUGGUUCUCCAAACUGUGAGGUGCACCAUCACCUAGAGGGGCAUACAGCAGUGCCCAGGCCAGCCCCCACAGGGGGUGGGGAGGGAGCACGGCCCAGCCCAGCUCCGAUCCCAGCUGCAGCUCCACUCCGGCCCCAACCCAGCUGUGCCCUGAUUCCCUGUCUGCCCCCAGGCCAGCUCCGCCUCUAGCCUCAGCUCCUGCCCCAUUCCCAGUUCUGCCCCCAACUCCGCCUUCAGCCCAAACUCUUCUGCUGAACCAAUUGUGCAGUAAUGGGAGCUGGGGAGAGCAUGCAGACAGAUUCCAUUACUGGUAAGGGGGAGCAUGACAAGACAAGUUUGGACACACACUGACAGUCCCCAUUCCAUCUGAAAAACAAGACACAAGAAGUGGAUGAGAAACAUGUAAAGAGGAAGAAUGAGGGUCACAAAAAAUAAAAUGUUAAAUUGAGACCCUUAAUUUCUUUCUUCUCCAAUGUCCAGGAAAAGGGAUUUUCAGUUUCAACUGGAAAUAGAAUACUUUGCUUCCUAGUCUAAGCUGUUAUACACUAGUGUUGCUUGCUUCUAUCUUGGAGAUAGUUGCAUUUCAAAGAUUGGUAAAGUGAACUAUGGUAGUGCUAAGGGCUCCAAUCAGGGAUCAGAGUUUCGUUGUGUGAGACACUGUACAACAUAACACAGACAGUCCCCAGCCCAAAGAGCUUACAAUUUAGACCAGAGACAGCAGGUGGAUACACCUGUGACAGAUUAGACCCCCCUUUCAGGGUGCCACCGGAUGUGCUAGGGUUCCACUGAGCCACCCAUUCUAUGAGCCUGGGUUUCCUCACCCUGUCCUUGCUGUGCCAGGAUCUCAAGCCUUCUCUAGCGCGCGCACGCGCACACACACACACACAGCCAUACACAGCUACAAACACAGACUGAAAUCAGCUGUGGGUGGGAGGAUUCAGCUCAGGAAUUUACCCAGCACUCACAUGCACACCUCCUUUGGGGUGUAAACCCAAAAUUAUAUUGUCUUGCCCUGUAUAGAGAGAUCUAUGCAGUGUAAGCUCAUAAAAAUCACCCCCGCCCUCAAUGUGGAGAGAGCUAUGCACAGCUCUUUGCCCCCCCAGUUAUGAAUUGCACAAACUGGGUUUUGAAAUAAGCAAGAAAUAAGUUUAUUAACUAGAAAAGGUAAAAUUCAAGUGAUUCUACGGGAUAGCAAACUGAACAAAGCAGAUUACCGAGCAAACAGAACAUAACAUGCAACUUAAAUUUAAUUUCCUAAAGAAACAGGUUACAAAUAGUAAUUCCUCACCCUCAUGUUGUUUUAGGCAGGUUGCAGAGUUUCUGCAGCUUAGAGUUCAAGUUAUUUCUCUUCACAGGCUAGACCCCUGUCUCAGGCAAGGGCUGAGUCCAGCCUUUCCCCAGCUUAGUUUGUCUCUUCAGGUGCUUUCAUCAGUCUUCCUUCUUGGGCGGGGAGGCAAUAGAGAAGAGCCCUGAUUGACUCACUUCCCAGCCUUAAGUAGGAUUUACAUAAAGCAGGAAUCCUUUGUUUCCAGUGGAAAAAUACCAGCAGUGUCCAACGUGGUACUCCGUACCAGGUGACAUCAUCACAUGACCCUGCAGUGUCAAAGCAACAUCCCAGGAAGCUUCUCCAGAAGGUGGGAGAUUAAUAUCUUCAAAGUUCUGUUGUCUUUGUUAAAUGGCCCAUUCAGGCUGAUUACCUACUGUCUGAUGGGCGUUCCCCCAAGUACACACAGUUGUAAUUGUUACUUAGUCAAUAUUCCUAACUCAGAUACAGAAAUGAUACAAGUAUACAAAUUGGAUAACCACAUUCAGCAAAUCAUAACCUUUCCAAUGAUACCUUACAUGACUCAUCUUGCAUAAAAUAUAUCUUUGUUAUGCCAUAUUCAUAUCAUAAUAUUUCUAUUAAGAAUAUGGGGUGUAGCGUCACAAAACCAACAGAAGACACAAGGAAAUAAAACAGUGAUCAGAGCCUUUACCUACUUUAUCAAACACUUUAUACCAGCCUUCAGUCUACCAGAUCAGAGACCUUCUAGAAAGCAGCCAUAUAUUCCUUAUGUUUAGCACAUUCCUUCAUUGUUGCUUUUGGAAUUGGAAUGUGUUUUGAGGGCACCCAUCAGGCUGUGAGUCACAUAAAAUUUUAUAUAGUCGAAUUUUUUUUAAUUAUACUCCUAAAACAUAUCUUCUGAGCUGAUAUCUACAAUUGAUCAACUGAAAUGCCAUUCCUGUUCCCCAGCCCUCAGCUCCGGUGCUGGGGUCAGCGCUGACUCCAUCAGGAGUGCCCUGAGACGGAUGUCUCACUCCUUUUUCAUUCUGGGUUUGAACGACUUACAGAUGCGACACUUGUUGCUUAUGUGUCUUUCUCCUAGACACCUUAAACAGCUAACAUGCAGGUUGCUGGUGAGCAUGGGCUACUCACAAUGAUCGCAUGGUUUAAAGCCUGGGGAUCGGGGCAUGCCCUGUCCCUAGGCUGAGUCCCAUCUGGGACCAAAUAACUACAACUAAUACUAAGGGUAAAUACUAAACUAUAUACAACUAUUUUACAAAGAAAUAUUUGUGAGACACACUGAACUAAGCGAAAGCUAGCCGAAGCAGCAGAAGUUCCAGCACAAUCACUGGCGGCAAGAAGGAACUGAGGGUGGGGAAAGCCAGCGGUGCCCCUUAUACCACGCCAUGUGGGCGCCAUUACAGAGGGCGCCAGAGUCAGUCCCCUACGGAUACUGCUAAGGGAAAAACUUCCGGCACCAGUGCAUGUGGCAAGGACACACACCUAAUAUGGAAUGGACAUAAGCAAGCACUCGAAGAAGAAAAACCUUUACAUUUCAACUUGUGGAAGUGGUAUCUGAAAUAAUUUGAUCCUACUAAGUAGCCAAUCUUCAGGUAAAUUAUUCAUAAGCAUUAAUUUGCACUGGAAGUAAUAUAAUGUAGCCCUUAUUCCUGCAAAAGGGCCAGAUACUAGUGUCACACUGGACUUGAAAUUGUCUAAACUGAAAGCACAAUCCUACCCUGGUACAGGUAAUUCAUAAACUCUAUAAUUCAAGACUGCAAGUCACAACCUUACAGAAACAAUGAAAAAGGCAAGUAAUUAUUUAUUUGUGUUACAAUAGUGCCCAGCAGCCCGAGUCACGACAGAGGCCCUAUUAUGGUAGGCAGUAUAAACACAUAGUAAGAAAAUGCCCCAAAAGGAUUACACUUAUCUUUCGUCUUAACAUGCAGGUCUGUAAACUUGACCACCUGUUCAAAUUCAUGAACCGGGAACAUAAUUAACUGGCAGCUCUGGAAGUAAAACUCCCCUGUUCAGUUUUGAAUUUCCACUUCUUUCAACACAACUCCACGGACUAAGAAAGGAGGUUGAUGGAAUGCAGACAUAAGUCUUGUCCAGUCCUUGUCUGGACAAGAUGGAGGCUUUGCGAUAGAGCCAUGAAGACAUGGUUAGCAGGGGCCAUUAGUCACUUGAGAAAAAAUUUACCUAAGUGACUUAAGAUCCUAAAGUCCAUUGGUUUUAAGUGAGUUAAGCUCCUAAAUCACUUGUGCUUUUGAAAAUGUUACAUCUUGUCUCUAGGGUUGCCAACCCUCCAGAAAUUAAAGAGUAAUCUUUAAUUAAAGGGUAUCAUGUGAUGAAAUCUCCAGGAAUACAUCCAAAAUUGGCAACCCUACUUGUCUCUCUUAUAGACCAGGCGAACAGAAACAGGGAAGGAAAAAUACUUAAAUGACUUACAUUUUAGUUCCAGGAAGUUCACAAUUUUCAAAAGUGAUUUAAUUUCAGGUACCCAACUUGUCUGAGAACUUAAAGGUGCCUGAUUAUCAGAAAUGGCUGAGCAUCACACACUUUGAAAACCAGGCCCUUUGAUGGUGACUCAAGUUGGGCAUCUGAAAAUCUAGGCACCUGAAACCACUGAUCAUUUUUGAAAAUGUGUUUCAGUAAUAAAAAACAAAAAACCCAAGCUAAAUUCACACAUGGACUUAAGACUGAAAAUAGCCAAAUGUGCAAUAUAUCACAACGAUGCACUCUGAGAAGAGCUAUUCAAGGAAGAAAGCUAACAACAGAGCCAUUUGGAUUUCUUUCCUUUUUAAACUCACACAGGCCAGCCUAACUUAUCACUAGGAUGCAGGGAAGAGAGACCCAAGUCAUUUAGUCCAUUCCCUCUGCCAGUAAAGGAUUAUUCCAUACAGUAUGUUUUACCACCACUUCCACUGGGAAAUUAUCCCAUAGACUUAAUAUAUGAAGCAUCGAUGGGGGAGCCAAGAACCACUGAGUUCUAGUCCCCCCUCAGUUACUGACUAGCUAUGUAACCUUUGCUAAGACAUAUUACGCUCUGUCUCUGUUUCCUGAUUUGUAAACUACCUACCUAACUCUCAGAGGUCAAUGAAUGUGUCUAUAACUAUGACAAUAUAAUGCAGAAGUACAAAAUGUUAUUAAUUCUUACCUAGAUAACAUGCUGUCCCCACACCUUAGCCCAGCCUUGCAUAAUUCUACUCAUCUGCUUGCUCAUACAACUAAAAUAUGAUUACUUUUUUAAUUAUUACAAAAAUAAAUGUUGAAAAGUGGAUUUUGUGCCUCUGCUGGUAAACAUCCAUGAUAGUUUUGCCAGGCUACCUUAGUCAUCAUUUAGUCAAGCUCCAGAUAGUGUCAGUUCUUAAUUUUUUUCUCCUAAAUCCAUCCUUUCAGACUCUUUUCCUUUGAUCUACAAAGCAAUUUAAAUUUCAGGUACUGAAGUGCCUAGAAAUGCAGUAUCUUGUAGCUGUAGAGAAGUGGACAUGCAGCAGAUCCAUGGGGGUUGCCAACAUGAAAGUCUUUACAUGGAGAAAUAUCUUGGCAAGAGGAGACACUCCCUGUUUAGCUCACAGCUGCCCUGAAGGAACUGCCUAUAUAGUAACUGAGCUAAAUGAAGGUACAUUAUGUCACAGCUGGUUCUUACAGGGGAAAACACCCCUGUUUACAGAUAGACAUUCACUACGUAUCCAGAUGCAGUGUUGCAUGUAAAUAUUACAAUAUAAAGAACUGGAAAAUGUUGCAAUAGGUGCAGGUGGGCACCUUAAAGAUGGAGGUUUGCUCACUGCAUUACUUACUUGGAAUGGGAAACAUAAAGCCAUAGUAAAUGUCACCAGUGCAAGUAGCAAAUAUUCUGUUUCUAAUGGCUUCAUUUGUUGUAUGAGGUUUGCAAAAAUAUUGUUCCUGACCUCUGAAAUGUCCAUGCCAUCUGUAUCCGUGAAGGUCUCCUAAAACACUUCAUGUUUCCCUCAUCAAGACGUCCCCUACAUGGCACAAAAUAAUGCUUGGAACCACAAAGCAAUUACAGAAUCUGACUCUGCAUCAUGAACAAGGUGAAACUCCAUUCAGGCUGCUUUUAUAUAUUCUCUCAGCCUUUUCUCAUGUGAUGAUUCAGGAGGAAAAAAACAAGGGAGAGAGUGGCACUGUGAAAGUACAGCCAUGUCUUCUUUCUAACAGCCUGACUCAUAAUUGACCUUUAUUUUGUAGGCUAAACCAGCUCACAAGGAAAGUGAGCUGCGCAGAUACUAGAAAGACUUAGAACUUGCUUAUUGAGUUGGAUGUAUUUAUAAUGAUUUAUUUCAAUUUAUGAACUCCACUGUCUCUAAGAAUGAGAAAAGAUGAAUAAGGAUUUGCACUUGCAUGGCACACAGGAUCAGCCUUAAAACAAUCAAGUGGGCAGAGGUAUGUGCAUAGAUGCAAUGGAAAACAUUGCAGCCUGGCAUUAACAUAAAUGCAAACACCUGAAGUGAUUAUUUGCUUUGCUUUUACCUAAUGCUGGCACCUUGGCUGGAAGGAUCUUAGUGCUUUAGAAAGACUAAGCCUUAAAUCACCUCUGUAGCAGUAUUGUACUCAUGUAACAGAUAGGUCCACAGAGGUAAAGAGACUUGGGGACAAAAUUUUCCAAGUUAGGUACCUAAUUCCAGACAUAGGCAACUAGAUAACACUGGUCUACAAUUUUUGAGAAAUCAUCUGCUUCAGAGAUAAAAUGUGCUAUUUAUUAUGUAUUUUGAUGUGCUGAAUUC